UACGUAGGUGGCGAGCGUUGUCCGGAUUACUGGGCGUAAAGAGCGCGCAGGCGUCGUGCAAGUCGCGUGUGAAAGCCCCCGGCUCAACUGGGGAGGUCACGCGAUACUGCUCGACUCGAAGGCAGGAGAGGGAAGUGGAAUUCCCGGUGUAGUGGUGAAAUGCGUAGAUAUCGGAAGAACAUCAGUGGCGAAGCGAAGCUUCCUGGACCAGUACCGAACGUGAGCACGAAAGCGUGGGAGUCCAAAGCAGGAUUGAAGAGUACCCGGGA
rnacentral:rRNA from 1 species